GAUGGAACGCAGCGAAAUGCGAUACGUAAUGUGAAUUGCGGAAUUCAGUGAAUCAUCGAGUCUUUGAACGCACAUUGCGCCCCCUGGUAUUCCGGGGGGCAUGCCUGUCCGAGCGUCAUUGCUGCCCUCAAGCACGGCUUGUGUGUUGGGCCUCCGUCCUCCUCCCGGGGGACGGGCCCGAAAGGCAGCGGCGGCACCGCGUCCGGUCCUCGAGCGUAUGGGGCUUCGUCACCCGCUCUUGUAGGCCCGGCCGGCGCUUGCCGACACAUCAAUCUUUUUUCCAGGUUGACCUCGGAUCAGGUAGGGAUACCCGCUGAACUUAAGCAUAUCAAUAAGCGGAGGA
rnacentral:misc_RNA from 1 species